rnacentral:rRNA from 1 species
AGAGUUUGAUCCUGGCUCAGAUUGAACGCUGGCGGCAUGCCUUACACAUGCAAGUCGGACGGCAGCGCGGGAGCAAUCCUGGCGGCGAGUGGCGAACGGGUGAGUAAUACAUCGGAACAUGUCCAGUAGUGGGGGAUAGCCCGGCGAAAGCCGGAUUAAUACCGCAUACGAUCUAUGGAUGAAAGCGGGGGAUCGCAAGACCUCGCGCUAUUGGGGUGGCCGAUGGCGGAUUAGCUAGUUGGUGGGGUAAAGGCCUACCAAGGCGACGAUCCGUAACUGGUCUGAGAGGACGACCAGCCACACUGGGACUGAGACACGGCCCAGACUCCUACGGGAGGCAGCAGUGGGGAAUUUUGGACAAUGGGGGCAACCCUGAUCCAGCAAUGCCGCGUGUGUGAAGAAGGCCUUCGGGUUGUAAAGCACUUUUGUCCGGGAAGAAAUCCCCUGCCCUAAUACGGCGGGGGGAUGACGGUACCGGAAGAAUAAGCACCGGCUAACUACGUGCCAGCAGCCGCGGUAAA